GACGAACGCUGGCGGCGUGCUUAACACAUGCAAGUCGAACGGAUAGGCCCUGCUUGCAGGGUGCUCGAGUGGCGAACGGGUGAGUAACACGUGGGUGAUCUGCCCCUUACUUUGGGAUAAGCCUGGGAAACUGGGUCUAAUACUGGAUAGGACCAUGCUGUAGGUGGUGUGGUGGAAAGAUUAGUUUCGGUAAGGGAUGAGCUCGCGGCCUAUCAGCUUGUUGGUGGGGUAAUGGCCUACCAAGGCGUCGACGGGUAGCCGGCCUGAGAGGGUGGACGGCCACAGUGGGACUGAGAUACGGCCCAGACUCCUACGGGAGGCAGCAGUGGGGAAUAUUGCACAAUGGGCGCAAGCCUGAUGCAGCGACGCCGCGUGGGGGAUGACGGCCUUCGGGUUGUAAACUCCUUUCAGCCAUGACGAAGCCCUUGUGGUGACGGUAGUGGUAGAAGAAGCACCGGCUAACUACGU
rnacentral:rRNA from 1 species